AUAUCCCUGCUGUGUGCGUUAGAUGGGGCUUUAUAAAGAACCAACACUUUAUAAAUGGGAUGCCUGACUUCUGUAAUACCCGUGGGUAUUUUUAGAGAGGUUCCCACCUGGUGACAGGGUUCACCUUAUAUGCCUUGUCGACGGCACCGCGGGGAUUUU
rnacentral:other from 1 species